UACGGAGGGUGCAAGCGUUAAUCGGAAUUACUGGGCGCAAAGCGUGCGCAGGCGGUUUGUUAAGUCCGCUGUGAAAUCCCCGAGCUCAACUUGGGAAUUGCAGUGGAUACUGGCAAGCUGGAGUAUGGUAGAGGAAGGUGGAAUUCCCGGUGUAGCAGUGAAAUGCGUAGAGAUCGGGAGGAACACCAGUGGCGAAGGCGGCCUUCUGACCAAUACUGACGCUCAUGCACGAAAGCGUGGGGAGCAAACAGG
rnacentral:rRNA from 1 species